ACAAUUGUUGAUUUUAUAAGCUUUUGCAGGGUAAAUGGUUAUUCUAUUUUAAGGAAACAAAUUUUGUCCUUAUGAUGUUGCCGGAUUUAUUGCUCUUAACUCCUAUAACUACUUCUCUUUGUUGAAGAGAUUUGCUAGGCCAGACAUGAGGGGUAUGUAGCUUUGACAUUUUGGCUAGGUCUAGCACACAGAAUCUACUAACAGUUCCCCUAAGUAUCUGAGCCCACCGGGCUAUGUGUCAUACCAUGCCAAUUGCAGAUAGGCAGGGAUGAAAGUUGACUUUCAUGAUUUGGUACCAGAGUUUGAGGGAGAGCAGGUUCGUUAGAAUCAAACAGGCCUGGGUUUAUAUCCCAACUCAGCCAUUCUCUGGGUAUGUCGUCGCCACCAAGACUGAAUUUAAAUGUCAUUUUCUCAGAGAGGCCUCACGGGGUCUCCCAAGUUAGCUUCAUCCAGAACACUGGUUUUGCCCCAUGAUAAAACUCAUAUUUAGCAGUAUAUAGUGGGCAUUUAAUAAAUACUUGAGAAUGAAUGUUGAAUGAGUGUCGAGUAAAAAGUCAUGUUUUGACUCCAUUCCUAUGAACUAGGCAAGAGGAAAACUUUCUUUUCCUACAAAAAAGAAAGUAAAAAUGCUUCACCUACAGCCAGAGUAAACAUGGUUACAAUGUUAAAUAGUGUAGUUAUAGUCUGAAAUGAGCUAGUUUGAAAGCAAAUCUCAGAUUCAAGUGAGGCUUUCUCUAGUUUAGAACCUGGCAUUAGAGGGAACCAUGAGGAAGCUAAUGUUUAACCAAGGGUCUGUAAUGAGCCACAUGCUGUGUGUAACAGGGUGAUGCACAUAAGAUACUUGUUUAAAAAUAUGAAAGUGUGAAUUUCCAAAGAGAAAAGCAAGGUUUUCUCUAACUGUUCACACACCGUAGUGGGCCUCCUUGCCUUCUUCUGAGUGGGAACUUUUGAGGCCACUACUGUUAGAAGGAAAAAGUGUGUGAUGCUUAUCUGUGUUCAGAACUAGAAAAUGCCCUCUUCCGCUCCCUAGGUUGGCCCUGUUGUUGUUCAGGUGCUGCCUGUGAACAGACACCCACAGAAGACGGAAAAGAUGAAUCCGCAGAUUGCUGUGUACACAUGCUCUUCUAGGGCAUUACUAAUCUAGAGGAAGCAAGUGGGUGAAGAACCACAUUUGCAAAGAGGACAAGAGAUUAAUGAAAAGAAGUGGAGAAGCAGAAGACUUGGUGCCAAUGGGCCGAAUCAUGGAAGGAACAAAGGAACAAAGAAGUUUGGAUGGGACAGGAAAGGUCAGGGGAUGGCAGAAGGCAGCAAGGUUGUGGACAUUAAAUGCGAAGGGAAGAAAGUGCAAGAAGGAAAUCCUCUCCUUUUGUCAAGACCAAACUUCACAUGCUUGACCUGUAUCUUUCGACUCAAGGAGCAAGUGUCACCUCCUUUGUGUUGGGCAUCAGAGGGAGAGUUCACAAGCCAGAAUUGCCACCACUAAUGCCAGUCAUUCAACAGUCAUUUAUGGAACACUGAUUAUAGGACAGUCACUAUACUGGAUGCCAGGGUUAUAACAGAUGAACAAGAAGUGCAUGUCCUUUCCUUCCCCUCCCGAGAGCUCUUGGUCACUGUUGUGGUUCACUUUUUCACACUCACCAUCACUACCACCUUUCUUCUCAUCACUUAAGGCAAUCCUGGACAUCUAAUUGUGCUUACAAAGCAUGUAGGGAUAAACAAACAUGAACAUAAAAAUAAAAAUAGAAUCUUAAAAAAAUAAAAGAGUGGAAAAUAAUCACCUGGUGAUUUCAUUAAAAUGCAGAUUUCCAGGUGUAUUUGCAUAUUUUGAUUUAGAAAAUCUAGAAACAGGUCCCAAGACUCAACAUCUUCAAAACAAUCUAGAAGAUUCUGAUGCAGGCAUUUCAUGGCUCACGUUUUGCAAAUACAAUCUUCUGUUAAACGAUCUUGUGUAUUUUUGUCACAUUCAUUGUGUUUUGAAUGUCACAACAACCCAAGAAAGUAAAUGGGAUAGGAAUUAUUAUCUCCAAUUUACGGAUGAGGAAAAGAAAUGCAUAAGAAUGCCUAUUCAACCUGAUUUAAUAUAACUGGCAUCUAAUUUGUUCAAGCUCUGCACUAGAAAUUAUAGAGGAUGAGACACUCAGUGGAUCUGCAUUAGGGGGGUGCAGAAGACAAGCACACAAAUAUGCCAGGUGCUUUCCAUGCUGUUCUAUCUGGAAUCUACUUUAACACUUAUCAAUAUAUACAUGCACAUAAAUGUAUUAUGAUAACUUUAUUCUGUACCCUGAAGGUGGUAAGUUCACUCAUUCACUAAUUGGUUCGUUCAUUUUACCCAAUAUUUGUUGGGCAGUUAUUAUAUGUCUGACAUUAUUCUCGGUAUUGGGGAUACAGUAAUAAAUAAAAUACACAAAAACUUCUGCUUUCAUGAAUUAACAUUCUAGUGGAGGAAAACAGAGACUAGGAAACCACAUCACCCUUCAUAUCUGAAAAGAUCUACCCAGCCCAGUGGGCUAUAGGGCUAUUUGGUGCCUAUUUGAUGAUGAGUAUUUAUACAAGUGGCAGAGACUGGCUUUUGUCAAAAUAUUCCUUCCAGAAGUAAGUUGGGAAGCAGGUGCAGGAACCUCACCUACUAAUUGUCAUAAACCAUUGUUUAUCAAAAUAACCUGACAUGCCAAUUUGUAACCUAUCAUCUCAUUUAACCUUUUCCAGUAAUAUUGGGGUAUACAUACUAUCUCCAUUUUACAGAUGAGACAAUCGAAUCUUAACAGGGUCAAAUAAUUUCCUGAUGUUCAGUGAUUACGUACUGAGUAGCAGAGACAGGAUUUAAACAGGUUUGUGGCCAUAUACUGUACAAUUUCCACUCCUCUAUACUGCUCUAAGAUCUUGGAGCAACUCUUAACACUUCCCAGUGACCCUGGGUUUCAGUUGGUCAUUCUCUCUCAUACCAGCAACAUUCACCUCAUCUUUGUGCUGCCUCUCUAGCCUUCUGGAGAGCCAGUUUAAGGUUAUUUUACCAAAGAAUUCUCCAGGACUCAUUUUGAUUGUUGAUGAUCAUGCUCACUUCUUAGCUUGUAUUAAAUCUUGUCUCACAAAUAACUUUUCUUGAGAUUAAGGAGUGCUUUCCCUACACUUUUUUUAAUAUCCUACUGCAUCUAAUUUAAUACAAUGCAUGUGUAAGAUGUAGUCUUUGUUCCUUUGGUAGGUAAAUUUUAAUUGCACCACUUAGAACAUGGUGCCUGGCACAUAAUAAAUACUCACUGAAUAUUAUUGGCUUUUGUAGAUAGAAUAUUCACAAGAUUCUGCAUAAUACAAUGGAUGUUGCUACCAAUUUAGAUAAUCAAAAACGGAAAACAAGAAUUUCAUUUUUAAGAUUCUUUGAUUAUAAACAGCUACUAACUUACCUAUUCUUUUAAUAUAAGGCUUAGAAUUCUUGGAACAAGAAGUUCAUUUUCAACAUAUAAUGUUAUGUAUCUGAAAAUCUGAGUCAGCAAUGAGGUUAUCUGAGGCCCAACUGUAGAAAUAUUUGUAGAGGGAGGUUCUGGAUAAAGUAGGCAGGAGUAAAAAGGAAUACAGAAUGUGGGAAAGGGAAGUAUGUGUGGGGCCAAGUCUUUAUAUGACAGGGUUUUCUCUUUUAUAUUUUCACAGGUUAGAGGAAGAAAUAGUGAAUGAAUCAUAUAUUAAGCUAAAAGGGGCUACUUAAGCAACCCUCUACUUUGGAACACAAAACACAUUUCACAUCUUGUCACUUCUCAACAUUAAUGCACUCAAUUAAUGCAUUUAUUUGAUGGCACUGAAACAAAUUUGGCAAGUAUUGGUUAAUUAUGUAUAAACGUGAUAGAAUCAUACCAUUUAAUAUAUGCACCUGUGUCUGUAUAGAUAUACAGAUCUUGUUUUUCAAGUCCAAUACUAACAUAAACAGUUCAACAGGGCAUUUAAUUAAUUUAUGAAUUUCUUCACAUUAAUGUCUUAUAGUGCAAAACAAGUUUGUCACAUUUAUGUAUAUGUAUUUGAAAAGAAUAAAAUUAUCUGAGAUUUGUACUUUUGCUGAUAUGGGAAAUAAGUUUAUUUUGUGAGCAAGUAUGUACAAUAUAAUCAAGGAAAAAACUGUCUGAACUUUAUGUAGAUUCAUGGAUCAAAAAUAUUAUGCCAGUAAUAACAUAAGAAAGAGUGUGUGUGCGAUACACACCCAUGUAUGUACACACACAUAGAUACAUGUGUGUUGAAUUCCUAUUAACAGUGAUUUCAUGAUGAAAGCAUUUCUGACUACAUUUGCUUAUGUCUCUGAGCCUCAGAUUUUUCUUCUCUAAACUUAAGGAUAGUCAUAAUACUUCCUAUUUCUAGGAGAUGUCAGAAUUAAAUGAUAGAGCAUACAUGAAAAUGUCUAGUUCAUAAGGGACAUGUAAUAAAGGUUAUUUACCCUAUAUUUUUUCUUGCCUCUAUUACUACUUAUCAUGAAGCUGACCUUAUGCUAUCUCUUUAGAGAAGCCAUAAGUAGACAAAAGCAUA